rnacentral:rRNA from 1 species
AGCAGCCGCGGUAAUUCCAGCUCCAAUAGCGUAUAUUAAAGUUGUUGCAGUUAAAAAGCUCGUAGUUGAAUUUCGGGAUUGGCGCAUCGGUCGUGCCUCACGGGGUAUGAACUGGUGCAGUCAAUUUCUCACCUUCUGGAGAACCGCGAUGUCCUUAAUUGGAUGCCGCGGGGAACCAGGACCAUUUACUUUGAAAAAAUUAGAGUGUUUAAAGCGGCAUUUUGCUUGAAUACAUUAGCAUGGAAUAAUAAAAUAGGACGGCAUGGUUCUAUUUUGUUGGUUUCUAGGACCACCGUAAUGAUUAAUAGGGAUAGUUGGGGGCAUUAGUAUUCAAUUGUCAGAGGUGAAAUUCUUGGAUUUAUUGAAGACUAACUACUGCGAAAGCAUUUGCCAAGGAUGUUUUCAUUAAUCAAGAACGAAAGUUAGGGGAUCGAAGACGAUCAGAUACCGUCGUAGUCUUAACCAUAAACUAUGCCGACUAGGAAUCAGACGAUGUUAAUUUUUUAAUGACUCGUUUGGC